CGCCCGCGGGACGGGCUUGGGGCUCCCCGGCCCCCCGCGCUGGGGCCGCCGCUCUCCCCCGGCGCUCGCCGCCCGGCCGAUCGGGCCUCGGCCUCCCUCUCCGGCUGCCGCUCCUCCUCCCGUCCCCUCCCUCGCUCCUUCCCGGCCGCGCCGCCGGUGCCCUCGCCGCCGGUCGCGCCGCUCCUCCGCCCAGCGCUCCUGGGGUGCCCGCCGGCCGUGUUGCGCGCCGGGCUCACUUUUCUACCGCCGUGGGCGAGUGGCUGGUGGAUCGCACCCUUGAUAAGAGCGGGGAGCCGCCAGCCGGCCUCGGUGGCUGGGUUUUGCCUGAAACUCAGGAGAAGCCAAGAUGCCUGAGUGAGUGUCCGCCUGGCCCCGCGGAGGCUUUAUGGAGAACAUGCAUUUGUGGUGUUUUCUUUUCUCUCAAGGAGGAUCUCUCACUGGA